UACAGAGGUCUCAAGCGUUGUUCGGAUUCAUUGGGCGUAAAGGGUGCGUAGGCGGCGAGGUAAGUCAGAUGUGAAAUCCCGGGGCUUAACCCCGGAACUGCAUUUGAUACUGCUUUGCUUGAGGACUGGAGAGGAGAUCGGAAUUCACGGUGUAGCAGUGAAAUGCGUAGAUAUCGUGAGGAAGGCCAGUGGCGAAGGCGGAUCUCUGGACAGUUCCUGACGCUGAGGCACGAAAGCUAGGGGAGCAAACAGG
rnacentral:rRNA from 1 species